GUGCUCACUUCGGCAACACAUAUACUAAAAUUAGAACGAUACAGAGAAGAUUAGUAUGGCCCCUGUGCAAGGAUGACAUGUGAAAAUUAAAAUAAAAUUAAUCAAUA